rnacentral:rRNA from 1 species
CCUACGGGAGGCAGCAGUAGGGAAUUUUGCGCAAUGGGCGAAAGCCUGACGCAGCAACGCCGCGUGAUCGAGACGCCCUUCGGGGUGUAAAGAUCUGUCUUCAGGGACGAUAAUGACGGUACCUGAGGAGGAAGCCACGGCUAACUACGUGCCAGCAGCCGCGGUAAUACGUAGGUGGCGAGCGUUGUCCGGAUUUACUGGGCGUAAAGGGAGCGUAGGCGGACUUUUAAGUGAGAUGUGAAAUACUCGGGCUCAACUUGAGUGAUGCAUUUCAAACUGGAAGUCUAGAGUGCAGGAGAGGAGAAUGGAAUUCCUAGUGUAGCGGUGAAAUGCGUAGAGAUUAGGAAGAACACCAGUGGCGAAGGCGAUUCUCUGGACUGUAACUGACGCUGAGGCUCGAAAGCGUGGGGAGCAAACAGGAUUAGAUACCCCAGUAGUC